UGGGAAUCUUGCGCAAUGCGCGAAAGCGUGACGCAGCAACACCGCGUGAGGGAAGACGGCCUUCGGGUUGUAAACCUCUUUCAGGAGGGACGAAGGCCGGCCGGUUAACAGCCGUGCCGGCUGACGGUACCUCCACAAGAAGCUCCGGCUAACUACGUGCCAGCAGCCGCGGUAAUACGUAGGGAGCAAGCGUUGUCCGGAAUCAUUGGGCGUAAAGCGCGCGUAGGCGGCCCGAUAAGUCCGCUGUAAA
rnacentral:rRNA from 1 species